rnacentral:tRNA from 1 species
GCCUCCGUGGUCUAAUGGUUAUGACGCUCGCCUAUACAGCAAGAGGUCGCAGGUUGGAGUCCGGCCAGAGGCA